rnacentral:tRNA from 1 species
GGCGACGUGGCCGAGUGGCUUAGGCAACGGCCUGCAAAGCCGUGUACGCGAGUUCGAUUCUCGCCGUCGCCU